GUGGGGAAUAUUGGGCAAUGGGGGAAACCCUGACCCAGCAACGCCGCGUGAAGGAAGAAGGCCUUCGGGUUGUAAACUUCUUUUACCAGGGAAGAAGAACGUGACGGUACCUGGAGAAAAAGCUACGGCUAACUACGUGCCAGCAGCCGCGGUAAUACGUAGGUGGCAAGCGUUGUCCGGAUUUACUGGGUGUAAAGGGCGUGUAGGCGGGACUGCAAGUCAGAUGUGAAAUGCCGGGGCUUAACCCCGGAGCUGCAUUUCAAACUGUAGUUCUGGAGUGAUGGAGAGGCAGGCGGAAUUCCUAGUGUAGCGGUGAAAUGCGUAGAUAUUAGGAGGAACACCAGUGGCGAAGGCGGCCUGCUGGACAUUAACUGACGCUGAGGCGCGAAAGCGUGGGGAGCAAACAGGAUUAGAUACCCCAGUAGUCC
rnacentral:rRNA from 1 species